rnacentral:tRNA from 1 species
GGGGGAGUAGCUCAGUCGGGAGAGCGCAGCGUUCGCAAUGCUGAGGUCGUGGGUUCGAUUCCCAUCUCCUCCACCA